GAUCGGGGUAUUCAACUUAAUUCCAGCCAGCCAUGUACGCCUCCUUCCCGGGGUAUUCCAGCCAGCCAUGGGUAUUCCAGCGCCUCCUUCCCGGGGUAUUCUUCCCGGGGUAUUCCAGCCAGCCAUGUAGCCAUGUACGCAACGCCUCCUUCCCGGGGUAUUCUUCCCGUGGUAUUCCAGCCAGCCAUGUACGCAACGCUUCCUUCCCGAGGUAUUCAAGUAAAGGCCGGCUACGCGGUACGCCUGCUUUGUGCUAUGAUUUGUGGAUUUCAACUAAGACCUACGCCUUUUUUUUAUUAUUUUAACCCUGCUUCUAUCUCCUCGUGGCUCGAUGUGGGACUUUGCCCGCAUCACGUAAACUCUGGCUCUGGGUUUAGUUUCAUGGUCCUUCACCAUGUCUUUAAUUUUAGUAGAAGAUGAUUAGGACAAAUUCCCAAAAUCAACCGCAUGCCUGGCUCUGUUAGGAACCUGAGCACACCUGGCUUUGAUUUUACUGCUUGAUUCCAACAAACGCCCAGAACUAAACAAUCGUGUCUAGCUCUGAUACUAUGUCGGAAUUUUUCUUUAAGCGGAAUCGUGUAAAGAACAUUCAUAAGGAACUAACCUCAAUCAUGGAGUUGCCAUGGUAGUCGAGGAUCUGCCUUGCCUUUAUCUGCUUGAUCCUGGCCAUGAGUGGAGCUCGAGUUCAGAGGACAGAGAAUGAAGAAGACGAUCGAGAAGAGAGAGAGAGGUGAGAGCUAUUAUUUUGACGAUUGACGCGUUUUUUGCUCCUUUUCCAUCUUUAUAUCAG
rnacentral:lncRNA from 1 species